AACGAACGCUGGCGGCGUGGAUAAGACAUGCAAGUCGGACGCUGUAUUUUGUAGCAAUAUGAGGAUACGGGAGUGGCGAAAGGGUGCGUAACACGUGGGUAAUUUGUCUGAGAGUUCAGGAUAAUUCGCUGAAAGGCGGAGUAAUACUGGAUGUGGAUAUUGGUUGGGAACAGCUGAUAUCUAAAGCCGGGGACCGCAAGGCCUGGUGCUCUUAGGUAAGCCCGCGACCUAUCAGCUAGUUGGUGAGGUAAGAGCCCACCAAGGCGGAGACGGGUAGCUGGUCUGAGAGGACGACCAGCCACACUGGAACUGAGACACGGUCCAGACACCUACGGGUGGCAGCAGUCGAGAAUUUUUCUCAAUGGGGAAACCCUGAAGGAGCGACGCCGCGUGGGGGAUGAAGGGCCUUCGGCUCGUAAACCCCUGUCAUUUGUGAGCAAGUGUUAUUGUUUAAGAGAUGAUGACAUUGAUAGUAGACAAAAGAGGAAGGGACGGCUAACUCUGUGCCAGCCGCUGC
rnacentral:rRNA from 1 species